UUCUUCAUCGUGUCAGAGUUCUGCUCUUCUUUAUCUUCAGACUUUGUUCAGUUUAGAUUUUACAUUUCUACAUUUUUGGAUCUUCAUACCUGAAACUUUCUCCACCAACUCUUCGGUAUCUCUCCUGCUGCUGACUCUAGAACUCAUCUCUCUCCUGUCAUUCAGAUCAACAUGAAGAUCUCUAUCUUUGCUGGUGUUCUGCUGCUCUCUGCUGCCGUGCUCUCUAUGGACAGAGGUGACAAAGUGAAGCACGAUGUUGCAUGGUUUACAAACCAGCACAUCGCUGAGAAGAUGA